rnacentral:lncRNA from 1 species
UGUGAGCAGUCAGUGCAUUUCUUUGUUUUCAAAUCUGUGUUCUGCUUCAUUUGCUUAAUUCAAAAUCCUUGUGCCUACUGAUUCUUUUGGUGAGAACCAGCAGAUUAAUAUGGGAUAAAUUCUGCUUCAGUUGUGCUCCCAGCUGAAGGCGAGCACUUCUUGCACCGCUGUAUUUCUAGGCCAGAAGAGCAGCCCAGUUUGGUGAGCCGGCAUUUCCCUGCAGCAGGAUGUGCCUUAGAGUCAAGAUGACAUCAUGCUGCACUCUGGCUGAAAAGACAUCCCAGUGCCUGGAGCAACACAGUCCUUUCUGUCCAUUACUGCUGGAAAUUCUGCCAGGGAAUUUCACUUUUAGAAUACAAAUAACUGCAGCCUUCAGUGCCUUUGAAGGGGACGGCCUUGCUGCUCUUCCCUUGCUCUUUUAUGGACUUACUUGGCAGAUGAAAGUUAUCUCCAUCAAGGAAAUAGUCUUGGGUUUGGCCACUUUUGAUUUGUAAUGUAUUUGAUAUUGUUUAUAACACUGCUAAAUAAACAGAAUGAUUACCAUGGAUUUGACUCCCUCUAAAACAGAAGGAAAUACUGUGUUACAUGGAAAUACAUGUAAUUUACGUUUAAUAAUUAGUACUUAUUAUGCAG